rnacentral:lncRNA from 1 species
GCUCGAGUGUCAUUCCCCCUCCUGAGGGCGUUGUCGUGCCAUCUCACCCCUCAAGGAUGGUUAAAGGGCGAAAGCCCUGUCUUUGCUCUUUUUGAGAUCUUGACGGACGGCGGCGGCGGUUUUCCGUCGCUUCUCUCCUUGGAGAUGUCAUCUAAGCAUUCUCUUGCUGAAAACACGUGUGCAAUUGGGUGUUUUUUCGGCGAUCUCGUUUAUGUUCCGUUGUUGGCUCAGCGGCGGUCAAUCACGCUUAGCGACAGCCGGUCCGGUGCUAGCCUUCUUCCGGACCUGUGUGUUGGCGCCGUCGGUGUGUGGAUGGUGGUGUAA